ACUUAGCUGAUGAGUCCCAGAUGGGACGAAACAAGCGUCCUAAAA
rnacentral:hammerhead_ribozyme from 1 species